GUGAGGAAUAUUGCGCAAUGGAGGCAACUCUGACGCAGCCAUGCCGCGUGCAGGAAGAAGGCGCUACGCGUUGUAAACUGCUUUUAACCGGGAAGAAACCCCAGGACGUGUCCUGGGUUGACGGUACCGGAGGAAUAAGCACCGGCUAACUUCGUGCCAGCAGCCGCGGUAAUACGAAGGGUGCAAGCGUUAUCCGGAUUCAUUGGGGUUAAAGGGUGCGUAGGCGGAGCGUUAAGUCAGUGGUGAAAUCCUGCAGCUUAACUGUAGACUUGCCAUUGAUACUGGCGCUCUUGAGUGCGCUUGAAGUGGGCGGAAUGUGCCGUGUAGCGGUGAAAUGCUUAGAUAUGGCACAGAACACCAAUUGCGAAGGCAGCUCACUAAGGCGAUACUGACGCUGAGGCACGAAAGCGUGGGGAUCGAACAGGAUUAGAAACCCUUGUAGUCC
rnacentral:rRNA from 1 species